rnacentral:rRNA from 1 species
UUUAGACUUAAGAGCUAUUCAAAUAAGGCACAGCUUAUUUGAAAUAGGACACAACCUACAACAUAGGGUAAAUGAGAGUGACCUAAAUAAAGUGGGCCUAAAAGCAGCCACCUUCAGAAAAGCGUUAAAGCUUAACUACCUUCACUCAUAAUGCCUAAAAUCUCCACUAACCCUUCAUUACUACUGAACAAUUUUAUACUCAUAUAAAAGCUAUCAUGCUAGAACUAGUAACAAGAAACUGCUUUUCUCCUAAAUGUAAACAUAAACCAAAAUAGACCAUCUAUUGGUUAUUAACGUAAAUGCUAAACUGUAGCAACACUCACUAGAAAAUCCUAUAAACCCCAACGUUAACCUUACACCAGAACAUUACAGGAAAGAUUAAAAGAAAAAGAAGGAACUCGGCAAAUUUUAGCCUCGCCUGUUUACCAAAAACAUCGCCUCUUGACAAACAUAAGAGGUCCAGCCUGCCCAGUGACAAAGUUCAACGGCCGCGGUACCCUAACCGUGCAAAGGUAGCACAAUCACUUGUUCUUUAAAUGAGGACUCGUAUCAACGGCACUACGAGGGCUAUACUGUCUCCUUUUUCUAAUCAGUGAAACUGAUCUCCCCGUGAAGAAGCGGGGAUUGUAAUAUAAGACGAGAAGACCCCAUGGAGCUUUAAACUCACCAUGUACCCCUGUGCUCCCAUACCCCCAGACACAACAGACCUACAUGUUAGUUUUAGGUUGGGGUGACCACGGAGUAUAACUUAACCUCCAUAGCAAAUGGGCUAAUACCUUAUCCACGAGACACAACUCUAAGAAUUACUAAACUAAUGCUUACGACCCGAUAUUCGAUCCAUGAACCAAGUUACCCUGGGGAUAACAGCGCAAUCUACUUCAAGAGCCCAUAUCGACAAGUAGGUUUACGACCUCGAUGUUGGAUCAGGGUAUCCCGGUGGUGCAGCCG